rnacentral:lncRNA from 1 species
AUGCCAGCCCCACUAGCUCCAACCUCUGAAAUUCUGGGGUGUGGGAACCCACAGAAGGAAAAAAGUACUAAAUGGGAAAAUAAGCUGGGGGAGACCGUGACAGCCGAAUGCGGCAAACGCCACGGCAGCCACCCGACGCCUGCCGGCUUCCCGAGCUGCGCCGCUGAGGGCCCAGGUGCACACCCAGCACCAACCCUCACCACGGCCAGAAGGCGACUAGAAAUGCCAUCAGCGUGCGGAGUCCAGGACACCGCAGCUGCUGCCCAGGAACCCCGAGAGCACGGGCACUGGGCCCCGCGGCCGAGCUCGGUGAGUGCCGCUGGCUCCAGGCCAGCGCGGCCCGGCACCGCGAGAUCCAGAGACCAGAGGUGGCACAGCACACGCCGCGGGCUCUCGGGCUGCAGUGUCCCCUGCAGAGCCUCUCCCUGGGCACCCCCGACAGGCUGGGGGAGCAGGACGGCGGGGACAAGUCUGGCCCGAGGCCAGGACGUGAUGCCUUGGGGUGGGUCUUUAAGGUGUAAGGCUCAGCGGGAGCGGGAGAAACCCACGUCUCCCCACGAGGGCUCAGACCGGGAAUCUGGACAGCCUCUGCGGAGGGCCCACGGGCGAGACCACAGGGCUCCGCCCACGGCUGGCAGAGCUUCCUCUCAUUUCCCAGGGCCCCACCGGAGACCACGCUGCACGCCGUGGGUCGGGUGGGUCUCGAACCCCGACAGGUGUCGCGAGACGCAGGAGAGCAACACGGAGUGGGAAAAGGCCGCAGGAGAGGACAGCGCAGGAGGGCCUGCGGCCAGGGGCAAAGCCAGAGGAAAGGCGGACCUCAGGGUGGGGUCCAGUCGCCCACGGCUCCUCCACGGAGGGGGCGUGGACGCCUGGCGCCCUGCCCAAGGCAAACCCCAAACUCACUUCAGAUCAUACUCAUUUGGGGUUGAAGUCCUGACACCGGCACGUGUCCUCCAGGACCUAAGAGAAGAGGACAAAGCGAACCUUCAGUGCAGGGGCCGCUCAGGGCCAAAGCCCCGUCACGCCCCGAACCUC